GUAUGAAUUCUUACAUGUACACUAGCCUACAGAAAACUAAACAGGAAGGUUACGAUAAUUAACAGGACAGUAGGUGGCUGUUUCCUCUUGUCCGAAUCUGCCAUGUGUUAGACCUACAGCCAAUCCUUGGCCAACAAAUUUCAGUAACUCCGUCCUGCCUAAGAAUUAUCUCUGUGUGUGUGAGUGUGUGUGCACGUGCAUGUGUGUAUUUUGGAAUCAGUCACUUUCUUUAGGCACUGAUAUCACAUCCUGUUAUGAGGAAAAAGCAACUUCGAUUGUGUGUUGAUGCAACAAACACAUAGUUUUGGAAAAGUUUCAGUAAUAGCCACCAAUGGUUAUCAGGCAGCACUUCCCUAAAGGCACGCAGCCUGGCCAGAGGAUUUGAAGGUUUGUGUAAGUCCACCAGCCGUGAACAAUCUACCCACUGUAUUACACUCUCACAAGAAUUUGCCUUUUCCUCUGCAACAGUAAGCUUAACUUUAAGUGAAGUUUAAGAACUAUUGUUACAUGAUUGUGGUACCCCUUUCUUUUUUGAGUGUGCGGUUUCUUUUUUUGAGUGCACACCUUGGGUUACAGAUGAAUUUCUAACCAACCAUCCUCUUUUAUUCCUCUUCCCAAUCCUACAUACAGUCUUUUCAUUAGCUUGUUUGGGGUGAUGAGGGGGGGUGCUGUGUCCCCAGGUUUCUUUUUUUGUCAGGUAUUGUUAUAUAAAGAAAAAUUAAUGUAAGGUAAAAAGUAGAUGCCUUUAAAAAGGUAACAAUAAAUCAUUCAAAGUCUGUCAGUUUUCUGCACUGGCUGUUAGGAGAAUAAAUUUAAUGAAUCUUCAUAGAACAGAGCUUUUCUGUAUCACUUAAGUUUUUUCUCUGGCAGAACAUUGCACCAUUUGGAACAGGCUCUAUAUCGUGGGUAGACUUUCUCUUCUCAAGAGAUGCUGAUUUCUGACAAGGAGUACUUUGAUUGUGGGGGAGUCCAUGUACAUUUUUUCUAUAAGUGUUUCUUGAUAUAUAUUUUGAGACACAAAGCCUAAGAAUACAGCACAGAAUAUGAUAAUGCAGAAUAUAGAAAAAAGCUGUUGAUUACCAUUUGUAUUUUUAGUCUCCUCAUUUCAGGAGAAUGCCAAAAGCAAACUUCAGCAGUCAUAUCCAACUCAUUAUUCCUCAUGACAGUAUAAAAUAGUGAGACAGUUUCACAAACUAGAUUAAGAAUCAUAGUUUAUAUUGCUGCAUAAAAUUGCUAAAAUUGUGUAGAAAUCUGUAUUGUGGAUCAUAAGUUAAUGUAAAAACUCCAAGCUAUUUAUUUUUUUUUUUUCCACUGUGUCUGUUUAAGCUUCUGGGCAAGUUGUUGCAUGAAUAAAUAUAUUUUCUUCCACUGAAACUAUGUAAUAUUAAAUGCUGUGUUGUUGGCAUAAAAUAUAAGUUGAUCAGACAGACAAAGAUUAUUAUUCUGACAACUGCAUACACAAGGGUAUCGUUGUACAUUGAAUUUCAGUGUGUAAUAUGGUAUAAAUCUUCAUGAGAGACUCAACUUUUAUUGGCUGCACAGAAGGUGCUUUUCCUUAUUAAAUACGGGAGAUGGUCCCAGGGGAUUUUUCUAAAAUAUCUUUAUCCAUUUUUUUCCUCAUGUCUCUGGGCCCUGGAAGGCUGACAGAUACUGCUGGGCCGUUAGUGAUGCUGAAAGGAGAGAAUCUGCAUGGAUUUCCAAAAAGCAGACCUUGGCAUACAGCAAGGGAAGGCUGAACUACUUGUUGGUGAAAAAUAAGUACAUCUGUCUGACUGUUGGCUGAUGGAAGCACACAGUGAUUAAUUAGAGCUGGGCCAAUUUUGUAUCAUUGAAUAUGAACUUGCUACUUCUCUGGCUGUUUCAUCUCCACCGUCCCUUUGACCACCCAAAAUUUAUUCCAGCAUACUGGGCACUUGCUGUGUUACCAGGAGCAGCAGGGGGAAAAAAAAAGGAGAAGAAAAAAGUCAGUUACACAGUGAAGCUUUUAUGAUUAAUUGAAACUCAGGUGAGUUUCCUCAUUUGUUUGUGGACUAUUUUUCCCUGAAGCCAAAUUAUCAGAUCUGUAAGUGGUAGAAGCCAGCCACCACCAGCCUUGUUUCUAGUGGCGCUUGCCCAGCACCAUCUGAGGAGUUGAGGCUGUAAAUACUCUGAGUUGGAUUUUUUCCCUUUAUGGCAUUUGCUUUUUAAUGGAAUGCUCAUUUUCCUUCUUUUUUUUCAGGAGGCAGCCGGUGUUGUACCAAAUGCCUCUGUAAGAGACUGAGCAACAUGGCACCAGCUUUACAACAUGACAUUAGUAUAUGCACAAAACCUUCUAGGGAACAGUGUCUUAAAUCAAAAUUGCAUUAAAAAAAAUGUAAUAGAAGUAAAUCAGUAUCUGUUCUUGGAAAACUGUUCUUUCUUUCAGAAACCACCACAUUCUUUUUACAAUUAUUUUUAUUUAGGGAAAUAAGUAGAAAGCCACUUAUUUCUUUCAUAAAAAUAUUCUAGUUAUAGUACCUAUCAACUGUGAUUUUUCACAUUAAGCAACUUUAAGCCCAGAGAAAAAAUACAUAUGGAAAUGCCUACAGAAACUAAAGCUAACAAGAAUCCAUAUUCUUGUUACAAUGAAUCAUGAAUUCACCCAGCUAAACCCGCAAGUACUGAUCUUGAAGAAGAUAGCAAAAUGAUAAUAUUGAGAAGCAUUUUGUAUAAUGUUGACAUCUCUCCCAUUACUGUUUUACAUAUGCCAAUACUGAACACUCAUAAGGAAAGAACAAGUAUUGACCUGCUAACUGACACUGAUCCUUGGAGCAAUCUCAAAGUUUGCCACAUUUCAAUUUCAAAAUGCAUUUCAGCUAUAAUAUGAGUGAUUUAUCAUUUAGCAGUAGCUGUCAAAGUAACCUCCUAGAUAAAACAAAAACAUCUGGAACCAUAAACAGAGGAGAGCAGUAGCUGAAUUUUAAUCCAAAUCUGACAUGUUCACUUCAUUAGGAACAGGAAACAGCUAAUUAGUAAUUGAAUGUUUUGUGGUUUUAAGGAGGCUCAGACUUUCCAAACAGAGAUGAUUUAAUAUGUAUUUUGGAUGUAAACAAGAAUAAAGAUCGGAAGAGCCAGGGCCAUAACAUCUCCAGAGGAACAGUUGGGAGCAUGGGAACCUCCAAAGGAGGGACUAAAAUUAGUUUCAGGCCUUUGGCUAAUUAAAAUUAUUGCCUUAAACUUUUAGGGGGUAAAUAUUAAAGCCUGGAGAGGGGGGUAAAGCAGAAAUGCAAACAUUGAACAUUGUGGGGAUGUUUCUUUUUUUUCCUUCUGAUUACUGGGAAUUUGCACACGACUUCUUCCUGUUGCAGGCUGUAGGUGAUCCAGCCUGUAUUAAAGUUCUAAUUCUAACAGAAUCUGCAGGUCAGCAUGGCUGCCCUCAGAAGAACAUGUCUGUGUAGUGACAUUCUGCCACAGUGUGUGUCUCGUGAGCAGCAGCACCCCUGCGGGCACUCUGUACAGAGGCACCCAGAGCACUGCAUGUCCUGGGCACCCGACGCCCACUCCCCAGACGUACGACAGCAUCUCUGGCCUGGCCACCUACGCUGGUGGGAUCCCAUUAGUCUGUGUAAUACCAAUGGAAGUCAGCAGAAAUUAGGCACUUGAUGCUAUUCAGAUGGGCACUGGGCGUCAGCUGCAUCUUCUGAUACGUUUGACACUUGGUAUUUGUACAGACAAGGGCAGUUAAGGCACAGACCACACACGUGUGCAUGUUUGUGCUGUGUGUGCUACAAGGACUCACUCUGUCUGCAAAGAGGAGGGGAGGAAUCUGGAUGUGCAUUCAAGGAAGCGAUUUAUAAAAAAUGGGAUCACUACAGGUCAGUAAUAUAUAGAGAUAUUUAAUUAUUGAUAUUUUUAUUGUAUUUUAAAAACUGUUUUUCAGACUAAGGUGGGAGUUGGUCAUCGAAGGUGCUGCAGGCUCAUGGACUGACUAUUUAAACUUUGGAACAGGUUUCAGUGUUUCCUUCCUAUUCCCUUUAUUUCUCAAGGAAAGUCCAAUGGAGGUAUCUGGAAUACCUGGAAGAGAGAAAGUAAAUGCCAAAGCUCAAGCAGAGUGCAACCACGCAGGCAGUAUUACUGAUCAGUAAACAGCGCAUAGUUAAAUAUUUCCUUUCUUAUAAAGCUCUCAAUUAUUCUCCAGAAAUUAAAGUACUUUUUUGUUGCUGUGCAAUAAACUGAACUCCAUGGCAUUAACAAACAACGUCAUACAGCAACCACCCCUGAGCAGUUAACAUGUUAGGAGCAUCUGUGCUACCACUUACACAGGAAAGACAAUGCCAUGGUGUCAGAUCUUUCCUGAAGAAUAUUCACUAUCUCCUCAGUGUGGCUGACUGCAAGCUACAUACCAUUUUAUAGCAUUUUACUGUAUUAUAUAGCAAAGAUCUGAAUAAAUCUGUGUGCAAUAAAUGUAUUCUUUUAUUACGUUUAUCCCUUAAUCAAAUAUUCAUUUAUGUGGGCUUCAUUCUAAUAAAAAAUGAGAUUAUACAAAGGUGAGCAAAAGCGUAGAUUUACAGUAGUUUAAAGCCUAAUUUCAUUCUCUAGGGGUAAUAUUGACAAUAUAAAAACUGUAUAAAUGAUAUUCCCUAACACUAAAUAUGCUUAUGAGCCCCCUGUGCAUGUUAUACUGCUUUACAGCCUACAGUGAAAUGCAUGACUGGCUUAAUAAGCAAGACAUUUAGAAAGGAUUGUUUUUCCCCUUCACAAUGUACAAGACAAGUAAAGAAGUAAAGAUCUCAGUUUCUCAGUGAGCUAGAGCCUUUGUUAGUAAUUGUAAUUUUCCCUCAGGAUGGUGGUGCCUUUCCUGAGCUGUUAGUCCAGGGACCAACAUUCAUCUCUUGCACACUCUUUUAGCAACAAUAUCAUUGCUCUUCUCUUUCUUUCAAGGUUUAAUGUGUGUAUAAAGGACAAAUCCAAAAGCAAUUAUUAUCAUCUGCACAUUUAUUAACUUUUUUUUUUCCUUUUUUUGCAGCCUAUCCAGCACCUCUGAAUUUCCUGGCUCCUUUGUGAGGCUUUGUCUGUAAUACCUUUCGAUUCUGUCCAGAGGCACCGUUGACUCCUGGGAUCUUUUCAGAAGAGCACUGAGCACUCCUCUCAGCAGGUUGAGAAUCUCAGAGAGAAAUUAAGAGGGAACUUCCCAGGUGGAAAGCAGGCUGAAAACAACCUUAUAACACUGCAGGUCACCAUUUCUUGGGCCAGAACUGCAUCUCACAGAUCUACCUCUGCCAACCACAACCUUCCCUGUGCUCCUUCCUGUCCUUAUUAUCCCUAUUAAACUAUCUUUAAUGGGCUCUUACACUUGUGUUUUUCACCAGUGCUGCAAGAACACCAUCAUGUGUCUCUCUGUUGUACGACCCACACCUCUCCUUCCUGGUUUAAAUGGCUUGGUCGGAUCCACAGGCCCAUCACCACCUUCUGCUGGGGGUAUCCUGCAGCCAGGAAAUACUCCCCUCCUGGACACAGCUCUUGUUUCAGGAAACCUGUGAUCACCUGGCACGUGUCUGACUGGCAUGAGGAAGAUUAGCUGGACCAGGGGCUGAUGCCCAAGUACCUUCUCAGAACUGUCUGGAGAACAAUGUUAGCAAGCCCUGGAAGGGGUCAAAGAUGACUCCCAUAGCACACCCCAGCUCAUAUGAACAUUCUACCUUCCUACAACCCAUCACAGCUCAUGCAGAGGGUCAGAGACUGCCUCUGCAUUGUGUUGCUUUGGUUCACAUGGGUAGUCAAAUCCCCAGAACCGUACUUAAUCCCAUGGAUUCAUUAUGGAAUUAUUAAACAAAUGGAGAAGUGAUGGCACUAGAAAAGGUAGGUAAAACUAACAGACCAGAAAGAAUCUAAGCUUAAACAUAAAUGCCCUUUAAAAACUACCACCUAUUUGAGUCAAGUUUGCUAGUGCACAAACUGUGGCAAACAUUGCUUACAAGUAUUGUUAAAAUGAAAGUUGGAUUUAUACAAGCAGUAUUUUGCAAUCCCUUUUAUUUAUUUGCUUCUCCUGUAUAUUAGAUACCUGUGAAUUUCAAAUCACAAAACAUCACUAGAAAAUUGACUAAAACAUCUGGAAAAAUUCUAGGGAAAUCCAUAGUAUUUAUACAAAUUUUUGUGACUACUUGUUCAUCUGAAUUCCUAUUGACUUGUACAGAUCUGUCUGGAUUUGUGAAUGCUCCACUUAGGGGGGGGAGGGGGAAGGGUGUGGAGAAAAAGGGAAAAAAAAAAGAGGAUACCAUUACAUAGGAAAGCUCUGGGAGACUUUAAUAAAUGAUGAAUUUCAAAAUGUGGUCUUAGAACAUAACCUUGGAAAAUCGAGCAUCUCGCAUGUAAAAGCCUAUCUCUUUCCAUAGUAAUACAGAUGUGCAUGUGGCAAUGACCUGAAAGACAAACGAUG